UCAUAUAUACACAGAUUCCUGGUCUGUUGCCAAUGGACUGGCCACGUGGUUGCCAACAUGACAGUCACAUCGGUUCAUGAUUCAUACAAAGGAAGUUGUGGCGAAACCGGCCUCGCCACGUAUCCUUGGAGGGGGCUGCUUGCCCGCCUCUUGCCUUUGGACUAUGGACCAGACUUUAUGUGAAUGUGUUAACCCAGAUAGCUAUGCCAUGGAGCCCAUUCGUGUAGUUAAAGA